rnacentral:piRNA from 1 species
UGUGUAGUUCAUUGCUCCCGC